AACAAACAAACAAACAAAAAAAAGACUGGAUGGCUCGUUGGCCACCAAAACUGAAGUCGCCGUCCGCCAUCUUGAUCUUCAUGUCGACCUGUGCAGCGUUAAUCGCCAAUUUGGUGGCUGUGAGAAAACAUUGCACAAUUUGACAGCAAAGUGGAACGCUGGAAGCCGGCGCUCUCAUCUCAAGGCGCACUUGCAAGUCAAAGCAGACAAAUGAAGGAAGCAGUAAGCUAACCGGCUCGUAUCUGAAGGCAGCGCUGCGUCAACAAUUGCACUUUUGUGCUGCUAUCGCUAUUGUUCAAAUAUUCAUGUCCAGAGUGAAGUCAAAAAUCUGACACGACCAGGCUUCCUACCUUCUGAAUGGUGCGACAGUGUUAGUAGGCUCACGCAAGAAGCCCCAAUUCCGGAACCAAAAACCGUGAUCCGACCCGGGUCGCCUCCGAAGUAGCCGAUGUUUUUGCUGAUCCAGCGGAGUGCUUGAAUCUGAUCGAGGAGUCCAUAAUUGCCUUUGGCGGCCUGGUCUCCAGUACUGAGGAAACCUGACGUACGGGGACAGAACAGAACACGGGUGGUCAUAGCCGGCGGGCGUCCAAACCCAGUCUCUGCCUUCAAGUGUCUCCUGCGGUGUUUUGACCCUUGGCGUCGCCCGAGGCGGUUUGCCCAUCAAACCUGAAUGCUCUCUUUCUGCCUAGCAUGGACAAAAGCACGCAGCACGAAGUCGCCAGUGCUGAGAAUUGAUCCUGCUACGUAUUCCCCCGCGUCCACUCCAGUCCAGUCCAGUCCUGGCACAGCGCGCCGGUUCUGAAUGCUAAACGCGAGCAUGCGGAAUCAUGUCGACCUUGCGCGUUCUUGGGAAUUCUUCAAUGGCCAAUCAGACAAACGGGUCCAAAUUAGACGUGCGAAACAAUAUGACAUUCCGUCGUGGCGCUUGCUCUUCUGAACGCGACAUUAGCAUGCAAUUUUUUUUUUCAUACCCUUCUACAUUUUUCUAUGAUGUCUCUUAAGUGGACCUUAUUGAGCAGCGUUCAAG